AGUAACGCGUAGGUAACCUGCCUGGUAGCGGGGGAUAACUAUUGGAAACGAUAGCUAAUACCGCAUAAGAGUAGAUGUUGCAUGACAUUUGCUUAAAAGGUGCAAUUGCAUCACUACCAGAUGGACCUGCGUUGUAUUAGCUAGUUGGUGGGGUAACGGCUCACCAAGGCGACGAUACAUAGCCGACCUGAGAGGGUGAUCGGCCACACUGGGACUGAGACACGGCCCAGACUCCUACGGGAGGCAGCAGUAGGGAAUCUUCGGCAAUGGACGGAAGUCUGACCGAGCAACGCCGCGUGAGUGAAGAAGGUUUUCGGAUCGUAAAGCUCUGUUGUA
rnacentral:rRNA from 1 species